AUGUCGACACCGACAUUGCACUCUUCCAAGGUGAGCUCUACGUGGUCCUCACCAAUAAUUAAACACAACAAGAGUGGCUCUGAACUGCCGGAGCUCCAUCGCCUGGAAAUCGGCGACGAGCAGAACCGCGUCAGAAACGGCGUGGACCGAACCUGGCGCUCCGUCUUCUACCUCGUCGCGUGCGGCGAGCGGCUGCUAAUGGUGGAAAGGCGGACCCUCGUUGAGCGCUUCGUGGUCUGGGAGGGUGGCGUCCGAGAACGCGGUUCGAGGCCCAUACGGACCCAGCUCGAGGCCUGGGAGGGGGUGGACCUGAUCGGCGGCCAUGGGCAUUGGAGCGAGGUGGAUACGUUGAUGGGGCAUGCGCUCUUCGUCAGCCGAGGCUGCUCUCAGUCGCUCCCGGCUGACGAAGCGCGCAUGCCCCAUCAACGUAUCCACCUUGCUCCAACGCCCAUGGCCGCCGCCGAUCAGGUUCACCGCCUCCCAGACCUCGAACUGGGUUCGCAUCCCGCAGGUAAGGGUGCCUCCUCAACGGUCUGCCUCUCCACCAUUAGCAGCCGACCGCCGCACCCGACGAGGUAG
rnacentral:rRNA from 1 species